UGUUGUGGCAUGAUCUACCCAACAAAAGAAUGCGUUAGGAUGGCAAUACUCGGCAGUAUAACAGAUGAAGUCGAAUGCAGUAGUACCUUUCAUGGAGUUUACUUGACAAGAAAUCUGCAUUAAUAGGCAUAAUCUUUGCUGACCUCCCUUUGUCAUGUAGAGCUGCCUGCUUCAGAUGAAUUAAAUGCCAUUAAACUCUAAGGGCUGCGCCAGCAUAUCUAAAAUUUUGCAGUUAAGAAUCAACAUGCGAGUAGAAUGAAACCGGGGAGUCGGACUGGGCCUCCUCGAGCAUCUCAUGGAGGCACCUGCUGUCAGAGCUCCCCUUGGCAUCUUCCUGAAACUCCUGAUCGGCACAGCUGAGAAAGUACUUCAGCUCGGCGAAGCCACCAUGGCCGCCGAUGUUGGAGACGGAGGCCGUGCUCUUCUCCUCAUGUCCGAUCCAUUGGGCCGUCGUCUCCUGCAGAAAUGUCAAGUCCACCUCAGCUCUAAAACACAGAUACAUUUCUCCAUCUUGGAAUCACAGAGCCUGCAGAUUUUCCCGGCUGAAAGCACCUGUCCAUGGAGGCAUGCGGCUGGUGUUGUUGUGGGUCAGGAUGGUUUAGUGUGCAUGCUUGUCUCAAGCUGCUAGUGGAGAAUCUUUGCUUUGCUUUGCAUUGCUUCAGAAACUCGUCAGGAAUUUUGGAGAUGGCAUGCCGGUAAAAAAGGGACAUGUAGAGAAAGUGCUCUACAGAAUCGGGAAGGAAAGAAAAGAUUGAGCAAAAGGAAUGAAGAAGGCAACUCCCAGUCAGCUCUUUUGGAAAUCACAAGUUGGUAUCCACACGAAAUAAUUCCGGGCCUCUUUGGUUUGCCGGAUCUCACAUUUUUUAUAGGACGGAAAUCUACAGGAAUUAGCACCAUUGAUGUAAAAUACAUGGAGGAUUUUCAUAGGAAAAACAUAGGAACAAGGAUUCCAAAGAAAAAUUCCUACAUAUGUAUUCGGUUCGUAGGAAAUGCGUACAUGAAUUUUAUAGGAAUACUAUUCAUUUCCUAUGUUUUUGAAGAAAACUAUACAUCCA